GAUUGUAGGUUCCAUUACCCUUAAAGUCUUGACCUUCUCUUUCCUUGGCUGCUCAGGUCAUAGGUGCUGCAAUCUAGAGACAAAAUAUUCCUUACACUGCCAGAUACUUGCAAACUAAGGGGAACGAGCUUCCCUCUGAAUGUUUAUGAAGGAGAGACCACUGUGAGGAUAGACAGUGAAGUGCAACUACAGCCCGCAAAUGAAAAUGAAUAAAAUUAAUCCAGCCCCUCAAGGCAGUCAUCUGUCUUAGAGCUAUUGGAAUCCUGGAUCAUUGUGGGAAAUGAAAAGAACUGGUUUUUAGCAAGGAGACCAAGAAACUCUACUCCCUAGGGGCUAGCAAUGAGAGAAAGGAAGCCUUGAGUCUUUGAGCACAGGGUGACAGUUUGGGUCCUAUGUGAGAUGAUCAAAUCCACAGCAACAGAGGAAAGGACAAAAGGAAAAGAUACUUCGAUGGAAUCAGCAGCCAUUGAUCCAAUGCCAACUCCAAGACUGGAACGUCGCAAUGAUAGUUCCAAGGCGGAAAUUUGACGUAAUUCUUUUCGACACAGUUUUACAGGUCUGGAUGCCCAUUUUAAUUCUUCUGAAAGCAUGCCUCCUUCUGGCUUCAGGACUCCAUCUCCAGCCUUAUGAUCUAAAAAUAAUCCCCAAACCAAAAAAUUAGAUAUUAUUUCCUCAAAAUUAGGUGUUUUAAUCAAAACAUCUUAACAUAAAUACAUUAUUAUCACCCAAUAUGCAUAA
rnacentral:lncRNA from 1 species